rnacentral:rRNA from 1 species
CCUACGGGAGUCAGCAGUGGGGAAUAUUGCACAAUGGGGGAAACCCUGAUGCAGCGACGCCGCGUGAGUGAAGAAGUAUUUCGGUAUGUAAAGCUCUAUCAGCAGGGAAGAUAAUGACGGUACCUGACUAAGAAGCCCCGGCUAACUACGUGCCAGCAGCCGCGGUAAGACGGAGGGGGCCAGCGUUAUCCGGAUUUACUGGGUGUAAAGGGUGUGUAGGUGGCAGGGCAAGUCAGAUGGUAAAGCCCGGGACUCAAGCCCUGUACUGCAUUUUAAACAGUCCAGUUGGAGUGCAGGAGAGGUAAGCGGAAGUCCUAGUGUAGCGGUGAAAUGCGGAGAUAUUAGGAGGAAACCCAGUGGCGAAGGCGGCUUACUGGACUGUAACUGACACUGAGGCACGAAAGCGUGGGGAGCAAACAGGAUUAGAUACCCGAGUAGUC